rnacentral:ncRNA from 1 species
AUUUGCAUGAUGAUCAAGAAUUUAAUCAAACCAAUCAUUUACAGAGAAAUUAACAUUGAUGAGAGUUAAUAAUGACAUUUGAUUAAUCGUACUUGUGAGUGAGCUUCGAAAUGAGUAGAAGCAAACGUCGGCGGCGUUAACGCGGAAGUCAUUGACUUUAUGAGCUAGCAUUCGUGAGGGUGUUAGGAAGUGAGGUGGUACCGCGAAUACAUCGUCCUCUAU